GUCAUGUAGUUUUGUCUGAUUUAUACUCGAAUACACGGAGUGUAAGUGGCCUACAGACCUAUAUCUACAUUUUGACACACAAACUUUUGAUUUUCAUUUUCACAAAAAUACCAAUUGAGAGGAAAAAAAGAAAAAGAAUUAUAAACAUAUAAAUUUUGGUGAGCUAAAAUACCAUUAAAAUCGAGCAAAUACAAUCAAUUUAUCAGUUAAAAAUAAUAAUGAACAGUGGAAAUAUCACAUAUAAUUUCGGAUCGUUGCAAGAUGACAAAAAGACUUUGAAUUGACAUUAAUUAUUAUGAAAAUCAAGUGAAAAUUUUCAAGGCAAUAAAAAAUGUUGUCAAUGUGUUGAGCGGAACUGACAUUUGAUCCAUGUUGUUACAUUUAUAUGGGAUCAACGGAUGGGAGGCUUAUGCGCAAUCGACAUCGUAGAAUUGUAAAAUUAGUGAAAAAAACAACGAUAACAGUUUAUACAAAAGAAAAAUUUAUACGCAAAAUAAAGAGUUUCCAAAUAAUUGAAACUUGUGGUGACUUAUACUUUAGAUUUCUAAUCUCUUGAAUAAAAUGGACAUAAUCGUUACCAUUCAACUAUAACUAAUUGCAUCUCAUCAAUAUUCAAGUGUGUUUCGAAUGGUACUGAAACUAAUGAUUCAAUAAUAUAGUGAUAAUAGCACGUUAGAAGAAAUACAUCAAAUUAGCGCACUUUACAAAUGAAAAACAUAAGUCGGAUGCUCAAAACAGUCAAAACAUUCAAAUGUCCGAAACUCUUAUCACCGUUGAAAAUAAAAAAAAACAUCACUUCAAAAGUGAUAGCUUGUGAAUUGAGAAGACAAGGUGAAACGAUACAAAAAUAAGUCAUCCUAUAACGAUAGUCUCAAUGCAAGAAGAACGCGAAAACGAUAAUAUAACUACGACCACAGACAGUGAAACUGCGGUAGCGACAUUGCACUACAUAUUGUAACGUGAACACUCAUGAGAAGAAAUUUCAAAUCCGUUCACAAAGUCUCUUCUAGUGUGUCAGCAGUGUGUACGAAUUUACCAUAAAUAUUAAAUAAGUUCGCCUCCGUUGCCAUUUGAUUCAAACUGAUAUAUUUAGUUUCAGGUUCGCUCUAUUCUCUCCUUGUAUAUAUACACACACACACACACACACACACACACACACACUAUAUACAAGAAAACUCAGAGAAUUUUAGUAUAUAGAAAAAAGAGGAGCAUCUAGUCGACAUGCUGUACAUGCUCUGCCGUUGUGGUUGCUGUUGUUGCUGCUGCUGCUGCUGUGAAUGAUGAUGUGCACAUGGAUCGUCCACAUUCGAUCCCAAAUCGUCAGUAUUCGCACUCAGACGGAUAUAUGUAUAUAAUAUAUAUUUAUAUAUGCGUACCAAUAUAACAAAGAAUAAGUAUAUAUCGCAGCGACGCGAAUACAUUCGAAGGCGAGAAACUUGAAAAUUUGAAGCUCCAACCAGUCGAGAGUGCAAGAGCAACACGCGUACUUGUCAAUUGGAUUUCUGGUGUUCUGGUGUAGUUCAACUUAAUCUCUCUUCCAUCAGUUGUGUGUGUCUAGUAUCUGUGAUUCGCUUUUAGCGGGAUUGUAUAUAAUUUGAUGUAAGGAUAGUUGUAACGAAAGUGGUAGAAAACUAAAAAAAAUAGGUAACAGUCAGCCAGCUACCUAAUAUUAAGUAUCAACAAACAACGAGGGAAAGAGAACAAGGGGAAUAAAUAUCACGCCAGCAUCUCGACACAUUUUUGCGUGUACAUUAAAAUACCAAAUCAAAACACCAACUUAUCACAAAUAUACACUGAUUCAAUAAAAAAAGGAAUUGAAUCGUUUUGAAAGCUUAUCCUAUUCAUAUUUUCAACAGUAUCAGUGCUUGUGUGUACUACAAAUACACACACCCACACGCAAAGUCACAAAGAGCGAAGAAACCCCCAACUACAACAACAUGAUGCAAUGGUUGAACUGAAAAAGAAUUUAGUUCAAUUGAACUUAGAUUGUGGAAUCAUGUAAACUUAAUAAAAAAAACUACAAAGAGAAACAGCAAAAACGAAAUUCAAUAAUUAAUCUGAAUUGAAAUCUCUCGUCGCCGAUUUUUGGUUUUCCUGUUACAACGACAACAAACAAAUGGAGCUGUCACUCUACAUAAAUAAUAAGAAUAAUAAUAACAACUAUAAAAAAAUACAAAAAAUACAUACAAUGAAUUGAAUAAUCUCUGAGAAAGUGUAAAGUGUUAAAUUUAUAUUAAAAGUACAAAGGUGACAAAUACCGUCUCCGGACGAUAAAAAAAGGAAAUUAUUUAAUAUCUGCUUUAAUCUGUGAUUCAUCUUAGAUCAUCAAAUCAAAAUGAGAAAAACAAUGCACGAAGAUCAUAAAAUUCACCCAAAUUCAACGAUUGUCGUUCUAAGCAAUGUAAGCUUAAGUACGGCAGCAUCGACAACAGUGAACAAUGUCAGUAUUGUCGGUGGAAGUGGUGUUGGUAAUGUUAUUGCUAGCGGUAGUGAGCACCUUAUAACUGAUACAAACAGUCAAAUUGAUAGUAUACUAGGGGAUUCAGUAAAGCUUAACUUGGAUGCAUCCGAUAGUCCACACACAACAACACAAUACUUCUUCAGUACAGCUACACCGAUUGUUACCACAUCCACCAUUAAUCAGCUGCAAUCGAACAACAAUACAAUUUUAAUUGAAGAUACAAAUGCUGAUAUAAUCGUAUGCAAUGGAGACGAUACACUUACAGUUACAUCGGGUGAACAGCAAACCUUAAGCACCUCAUGUUCAACUUCCUCGUGUACAACUUCUUGUAGCACACCAUACGUGAUAUUUGAAACGAAUGGUUUGCCGUAUGUGCAACGAACGAUUGUUUCAGAGCGCGAUGCAUCAACAGCUACAGCAUGUAUCGAUGACAGUGGCGGAGGUACUUCAAUCGACAAUAAUAAUAUUGGAGAUGACGAUGACGACAAUAACGGAAAUGACCAUAUUCUAAAGAGAAGCUCAACUUCAGUUCUUCAAAGGCAUUCAUUCGAAGAUGUUGAAGGUGUCAUGGAAAAUGAAAACGACGACAACGACGAAGAUGAAGCAUCCCAAGCUUAUACAGAUACCGCCUCACAACAUACUAACCAAGACACAUACGUACCAUCGCUAUUACCACCAGUUGGUAAUGCGAUCAACACAUGUGAUCAGACGGACAUGAAAUAUUACUUUGAGGAAUUGUGCCCAGUUUGUGGUGACAAAGUGUCUGGUUACCAUUAUGGAUUGCUCACCUGUGAAUCGUGCAAAGGAUUCUUCAAACGUACUGUACAAAACAAAAAGGUAUAUACAUGCGUGGCCGAACGACAAUGUCAUAUUGAUAAAACGCAACGAAAACGAUGUCCUUAUUGUCGAUUCCAAAAAUGUCUGGAAGUUGGCAUGAAACUUGAAGCUGUCCGUGCGGACCGUAUGCGAGGUGGCAGAAAUAAAUUUGGACCAAUGUACAAACGUGAUCGAGCAAGAAAACUGCAAAUAAUGCGUCAAAGACAAUUGGCGGUACAAGCCUUACGUGCAGCUGAAGGAAAUACAUCACAAUUAUCACCGACUGGUUAUCAACAGCCGUAUUCAAAUAUGAAUAUCAAACAAGAAAUUCAGAUUCCACAGAUUUCAUCACUGACAUCAUCGCCGGAUUCAUCACCUAGCCCAAUUGCGAUUGCAUUAGGACAAGUGAGCGUAACAAGUGGAAAUACAACAACUGCAUCUGGAAACAAUAAUACAAAUGCUGGUAAUGGAAACGCUCACGAAACCAUCAAUAUUUCUUUAUCUGGUACAAAUAGUGCAUUAUCCGGCGGAAGUGCAUCCAAUGUCGGUGGCUCAACAACAUCUACAGCAAAUGCCACCGGCUUAUCGAAUCCGACAACCGAUUCAAAGUUGUGGUUUGCAAACUCAACUACAGCUUCACCACAUUCGCUUAGCCCAAAAGCAUUUAGCUUUGAUACGAGCACAAAUCCUACCAGUACGGCUGACAUUAGCGCAGUUGAACCACUGAGCAAAAAGCAAUACUGGAAGAAUUCAAAAAGUUUGAACUUCCCCAGGGUGUCACCGAUGAUACGUGAAUUUGUUCAAUCGGUAGACGACCGCGAAUGGCAAUCACAACUAUUCUCGCUACUUCAAAGUCAGUCAUACAAUCAAUGUGAAGUUGAUCUCUUUGAAUUGAUGUGCAAAGUAUUGGAUCAGAAUCUGUUUUCGCAAGUUGAUUGGGCCCGCAACACGGUAUUCUUCAAAGAUCUCAAGGUUGAUGAUCAAAUGAAAUUGCUGCAAAAUUCAUGGUCCGAUAUGCUUGUCUUGGAUCACUUACAUCAUCGAUUGCACAAUAAUUUGGCCGACGAGACACCACUGCAUAAUGGUCAAAAGUUUGAUUUGCUCGGUUUGGGAUUAUUGGGUGUCCCGCAGUUGGCUGAUCAUUUCAAUGAAAUUCAAAAUAAAUUGCAAGAGCUGAAAUUCGACGUUGGCGACUAUAUAUGCAUGAAAUUUUUAUUGUUGUUAAAUCCAGAGGUGCGAGGCAUUACAAAUUGCAAAACAGUAGUCGAAGGGUAUGAAAGCGUUCAAACAGCUUUAUUAGAUUAUACACUCACUUGCUAUCCAUCAGUUGGGGAAAAAUUCGCAAAACUGAUAAGUAUUAUUCCGGAAAUUCAUUCUAUGGCUGCGCGUGGUGAAGAUCAUCUAUAUUUAAAACACUGCGCUGGAAGUGCUCCUACGCAGACCCUCCUUAUGGAAAUGUUGCACGCCAAGCGAAAAUAAAUUUGAGCACGAGCACAAACAAAUAAUCUACAUAUAAACGCAAUGGGGCACUUUUUAUUUAAGUGCAUUAAGAGAAACACUCAAAUACACAUACAUACAAACACAAUCGCUGGAAUUUGCUUCAGCGACCAACGUUAACAUCUAUGAAUUCUGCGUUUCUUCUCUCUGUAUGUGCUUUUUUCCAGCAAAAAGUGGCUAAAACAAAUCAUCAACUGCAUUCAAAAAAGCCGACGAUGUCUUUUUAGCAGCAUCUGACAACAAUACAUAUUAAAAGCAACAAAUGAAGAAAAUUAUACAAAGAUAAAUACUAAGCUAAGCACCGUUAAGAAAUCUAAAGAAGAACGGAGAAAUUUGUUUUAAAAUAUUAUUCGUAUAUUUUUGAAAUGGAAAAUGGUAACCAGCACUGUUUUUAUAUCAGUGUUCUUGAUAUGUGAUUUGAAAGCACGUGCUUAUUUUAAAAAUGGCAUUGUGUGCAUACCAAUUAAGGUUGUCGUUUAUUGUUCAUUUUUGUUCCGAAUGUGUAGAAGUAGCGAUAAGGCAGUGUGCACCUCUCAGCACCCUCAGUAUUCAUUUCGUCUUGGUCACAACAGAUUUAAAUCAUAUUUUAUCAAAAGAAAGAGAAGGGAUAAGGAAACGCCAGCGAAACACAAAAAUGCACCCGAGGAACAAAUCGUCGUUGGACGACAUAAAUCAACAAAAAAAAAAACACAACAAAUUUAUUGCUUAAUAUUUUACUGUACAUAAAGAAAAAAAUUGAAUGUACAUUGAAUCAAAUGAAAAAAAUGGACAACAAACCAUUAACAAGUGAAUUUGUAAAUAUUUCUUCUUAAUUGUUCAUUUUCUACGUUUAUUUUUAAUUUUAUUUCAAUAUAAUCAAUUUAACUGUAAAACAUAAGCCGUAGAUAUAUGUGUACUGUCAUUCAAGAGUAUUUGGAAUUUUCAAUUAUUUUAACUUUAUUCAUUGAAUUAUUUUGGCUAAAAUUUGCUAUCGCAAUCACUUAAUUCAAAAGAAUCCAAUGAGUUACGUGUUUGUGUCCAAAUAUUCCGUUUAUUUCUUAGUUGAUAGCAGAUGAUUAAACUGAGUUUAAAUAAAUAAGAACUACGUGUUAAUACAUAUAAUUUUUUGCGUAAUGUUGAGCAUAAAAAUGUAAGAGAAGAAUAUAUAUUAUAUGAAGAUAACGAUGCAGUUAUGCCAAUUCACACAGCCAGAUUGAAAGUGAUGCAUAGUCCGGUUAAUCAUCCUUAGAAAAUAAAAAAAAACGUAAAAAACCUAAAUUACUAGAAUUUUAUUCUAUAAACAAUUUUGUUACCAACACAUCUCAGCGAAUCAACAAAAUACACAGCGGUUAAUGAAAAAAAAAAAAUAAAACAUCUACCUUCUGUUGAUAAAGAUAAUGAUUUAAAAAGUUGAAAAAUUUAUGUUAGUGUGAAUAUAAUUAAGUAAACAAAUAUGUAUAUGUAUAUUUUAAUUGUUAAAUUAAUGAACACUACACAAACUAACAUAUUCACACAUAAGUUGAGAGAUUUCACAUAUAUUUUUGAUGGCAAAAACCUAAUGAUAUGUUAACACAUGUUCACGAAAAUCAGAUUUGGAUUGGACAGCAAUUUUUUAUCUUCUUUUUUUGAACCAAUACAUGCAUAAUGCAUAAUAUAUACAAUACGAACCAUACAAAUUGUAUUUUUCUUUUUUGUUUGCGUUUUAUGAAAGAUGUGUUUUUUUUAUUCAAAAUGUAACAUUUGAAUUCAAAGAAUAAUGCUUACGAAUGAUAGGAAUUGGAAAUUGUUUGAAUCUUUUUUUUGAGUUCCAAAAGUUUUAGAUAAAAAAAAUUAAUAUGAUUCCCGAAUUAUUACAUAAAAUAUAUUCCCAUGCUAUGUAAAAUGACAAUUUGGCGCAAUCACCAGAUUCAGUACGUUUGAAAUCGAUAAACGUGGCACAAAUGUGUCCACUAUUUAUUUUUGUAUAUUAACAAAGUUUGAUGAAAUUAGGCCUACACUGAAAGAACUUUAAUUUAGAUUUUACCUUUUGGUUGAAUUAAUAUGUGAGAUAAUAAUUUGUGCAUGACUUGUAACGAAGAAAAAUGAAAUGAAGCGGAUUGGCAUGCAUAUAUUGUUCUUUCUUUUAAAUAAACAUAUGAAUUGUUUUCACAUGAGCCCAAAGCCAAGCAAAUAGUUCAUCUUAAAACCAAAUUCUACAUGGACCUUGGUACAUUCGGCAACCACAAUUUCAAUGAGUUGAGUGAAUAGCAAACCGUCCAAUGUCCAAUUCGUAAAUUCAUAUAAUGGCACAUCCUAUCGGCAAAACUGUGUUCCAAUGCUACUUUAAUCAAAAUAUUUGUUUUUCAUUGUGUUCUUGAUUAAUGUAUAUUAUUACUAUUAUUGUAAUUAUUAUUAUUAAUAUUAAUAUUAUUAUUAUUAUUUUAUGGUUUUUAAGUAUAUUGGCAUUUUGUCCAAAUAGGUUUUGUUGUUCAAAUGAUCAUUGUCCAUGUUUGUCUCUUGAUGAGGUUUAAAGUCAAAUGCAGAAUAAAAGAAAUCAAAUGCAUUUCUCUUCUAAAACUAUUGAAAUAUAUUUGUAGAAUGAGAAAAUUGAAAUAAUUUGAACAAAAUAUUGAAAAAAUAUAUAUCGCCGAUAGGUUCAUGUAAAAACAAGAACGAAAUCAUUUGUGCUUCAAUCAAAACAACUAUAUUUUCUAUUUUAAAUGUAUUUUUAAAAAAGCAUAUUUUGUCUCAUUUUAUUUACCUUAUUUUCUUCUUCUUUUUUGAUAUUUUGACAAAAAGAAA